rnacentral:lncRNA from 1 species
ACUCCCCCUCCUCCCCGCGGCGCGCGCGGACCCCAGGCUAGAAGCGGCUCGGCGCGCUCCCCGGACGCUGCCCACCCCGCCUCAAGGGUCAAGCCCGGCCUCUCUCGCUGCUCGCCCCCGACUCCGUCCCUGCGUGCACUCCGCCCACUCCCGUGACUGGGAAGGGUUAAAGCCCAGGUGCGAGGCGGCCGCCUCCUUCUCACCUGGCCGGCCGGGUGCGCGUGCGCAUGCGCAUGUCCGGGGCUCGGCCCUGAGCCUCUGCAAAGGCUUGGACGGUGGCGACAAAGGUGACCGCUGCCACCCGUCCUGAGUGCUCGCUGCGCGCCGAGCACUUAACAGCCCCCUUCGGUCCUCACACUGCCCUCCAAAGUGGGUAUUACCAGCCUCCCCAUUCUAGAGAGAGGAAAAAUGGAGGCCUGGCAAGGAAAGUACAGUAAUGGCUCCAUGUCACACAGCCAGGAAUUGGCUGAGCCAGUGUUGGGAUCUGGGGUUGUCUGAUGCCCAGCCCAAAACCCAUUUCUGCACCUCAGUGACAGCCCCCAGGCCCUGUCCCUCUUUCCGUUCAAGGCUCAAGGCGCUGCCUCUCAGCCGCAGUCUUCAUUCUCUCCCAACAUUCACCAAGACUGGUGGCGUUUUGCUGGUAGAGAGCAUGAUGGAAUGGCACACAGGAC